ensembl:lncRNA
CUGCGUCUCCUCGGCCAGCCGCGCCCGCUCCAGCGCGGCCUGCGCCCGCUCGCCGUGUGCCUCCUCCAAACGGGCGCGCAGGGCCCGCAGCUCCCCGCCCAGCAGCUGCCCCAGACGGCGCGGUUCGGGAGGCAGCCGCCUUAGCUCCGCCAGCUCGCCGGCCAGCGCCCGGUUGCGCUCUUCCAGCGCCCGCACACGCUCGAUGUAACCGGCGAAGCGCUCGUUGAGGCCCCGCAGCUGCUCCUUCUCGCUAGCACGGCGCGGCUCAGCGCCCUCCGUGCGCCGCGGGGACUGGGCGAGCAGGCGGCGGGAGGAGGCGGCUAGCGCCGGCGGUUCCACGCUGUAGCUCAUCGCGGCGGAGAGGAGCGAAGCGAGGCGGGCGGCGGCGGAGCGCUUAUGUGACAAGAGGAUCAUGUCAGCGAGGUCCAGCUGGUGAGAAGAGGGCAAGCAAGCCAGGACUGGAGAAAGUCAUUGCUUCCAUAAGAGCUGCUGCUGUUUCAAAGGGACCAACCAAAGCAGGAGGAAUGGCACCGGGAUUUAAAUCCCUUUGAGACCAGAACCGUGUGACUACCAUGGCCCUGGAGGAAGCCCUGCAAUCAUGGCAACAAUUGUGUCUUGUAGAAGAGCCCACAUCCCAGUUGGCACACUUGGAAGGGGAUCACAAGGCAGAAACAUCCCUUUUCCUUGUGAGUGAGAGCAAAGAUUCAGCUCCAGCCCAUCGGAUGCUGCUUCUGUCAGAGGAGGAAGGGAGAGCAGGGACUUUGGGAUCCACCCUGCAUGAGCUGAAAGGCCUUGAGAAUCCAUUCGGCAAAAGGGAUGAAUGUGCACUUCGGGUUCCUGCAGGAUCAAGAAGCUGCUUCCAUACUGAGGUCCUGGCUGUGAGACAGCAGGAGGAUGCCUUAAAGCUUCGUGGCCCUGCACCGUGCCCACCUGCUGGCGGGGCUUUGUUAAUUCACUUCAGUGGCGGCCCAGGAGGGAAACGCUUCCCGGCUGCUGAACCGAGGG